UAAGAAGACACUUUGAACUAUUGCACAUGGUAAUGAAUCCAUAGACAUAAAAAAAGUCAAGAUCUCAAGUAGAAUUAACUUGAAAGACAAUGCGCUUAACAAGAAAUGGGUAAAAAAGACAAUCUUACUUUUUUUUGUUUGUUGGGGUGCGGGGGAAGGGGAAGAGAGAGAGAAGGUAGGUUUCAAUUCUGAUUAUUGUACAUGUGGGCCCAAUGCAUGAAAAUUACACAUAAUUUGAAACCAUAAUCCUGUGGAAACUGUUGGGAAUCCCACAUUGGAAAUCUAUGAAAUAAAAGGGCAAAAUAUAAAUG
rnacentral:misc_RNA from 1 species